AGCUGCUUCAGCGGAUGAUGAUGCAUAGUCGUCUACUCCCUCUGUGUGCGAUUCGAUGGGAUCGAAUUUUCCGAUGGCAGAUUCAAUUAUUGCAGUGAAUCGCGGAAUCUGGGUGAUGAUGCAGCGGGUGAAUACAGUUAAUUUGGUUGAUGGUGAUUAUUGCCCUGUAAUGGUUUUCUGAUGAGAGAUUGGUGGUCGCAUUUUCAAAGCACACGUGAAAAUCAUACUGUGAAAAAGGCACAGUCGUCAACACUACUAAAUACAAGUCAAGGGUUACUCAAUUUUGUUUUACGCUUUUCAAUUAGGACGAUGAAUAUUAUUGAAGGUAAGAGAUGUUCAUCACUGCUGAAGCAACAGUGUGACUUGAGAAGUCCACGGGCGAGAUUGGUUAUAUUACGAUAAAGAACCCAAAUAAAAUGCAAUGAUACAUAACCACGCAUAAAAUUAUACCAAUUUUGAAGAACAUUAAAAGAGCAUCGAUUUCAGAAGACCGAAUUAAAACAGUGCUAUCAAUUAAACGGGCAACUUUCAAUACCUGCAAUUUUACUUCAUAAAGUGGCCUUUUCGCGUUUUUUUAUCGACUGCCACGGGGGCAAAAUAAACCACAUCUCAAUCGUUAAA